UAUGUACAUGAAAUCAUUAUCAUCUGUCCCGCGUAACUAAAUCCUCCACUUUUCCCGGUCACCAAUGUUCUUAACAAGAGAGAGAGGCUGGUCCAUUAUUUGCGUAGUCCAGACAGCUUUUCUUCUGACAAACCUUUUUUCGUUUAUUCUCUUAAAGGAUAUUUUUUUUAAAGUUAGUCUUACAAAAUACAAUUCCAAACCAACUCAUGCAGUUAUCGUCUUUUCACAGUAUUGAGGAGUCAUCCUUUUUGCCAGCCAGAGUGUUAAUUGGCAAAAUUAUUAACAAGUAGAACCAUGCCAACCAGUUCUGAUGAUGUACCAGAAUGGCUCAAGGAUCAUACUUAUACUAUUUCUACUCUCUGGGCAGACAUUAAUAAUAUUGGCAUCCAUUCAAUAUUUAUUUUAUGUUUGGAAAUGCAAGAAAAAGGCAUGCAUUCCUGACAGGUCAAUGAUUGGUAGCACCUCUUAAAGAUAACUUUCUGUUAUGAGAAAAGAUGAGAUUCUUGGACUCCUGCAUAGCACCACCAGAAAGGAAAAUCCCAUCAUGUUGCAAAAUAAAAGUCUUGGACCAAUUUUAAUUUAAGAUAUAUAUAUUAUACUGUAAGCUCUAUACAUAUUUAUGUAUAUCCUGUCAUUCAGCCAACAGGUUUGGAUUUAGUAUUUCUUUAAAUCUGUUUGAUAUUGUACUUGAAAACUAUUAAUCUGAGCCACAUUAAAACAAUAGGGAGUGCAGUGAAUGAGUGGUAAAGCACUUGGCUUCUGAACUGAGGGUUCCUGGGUUCGAUUAAGACUGGGAUUUUCAAUUUCAGAAUUCAAAAGGCUAGGGAUACAUGGCAAUAGUAAGGAAUAAGUAAAGGCAGUUUGGGGAUCCAUGGCUGAAUGGUUAAGUCAUGGGUUUUAAUCUCUGUGAAGACUCAGAUUAAAUUUUUUUUAGAUUUUUGGGUGCCCCUGAGUCCACCUAACUCUAAUGGGUAGCUGACUUUCGUUUUGGAAAGUAAAGAUGGUUGGUUGUUGUGCUGGCCACAUGAUGCACUGGCCAAAGAAUCAAAUGACCUUAACAUCAUCUGCCCUAUAGAUUGUGACGUCUGAAAUGGGAUUUUUUUUCAAAAGGUGGUUGGUUGUUGUGCUGGGUACAUGACACCCUCGCUAACCAUGGGGCACAGAAACUGAUAAACUUUAUAUCAUCUGCCCCAUAGAUUGCAAGAUAUGUAAGGGAAAUUUUACUUUUUUAAAAUUAAAAUAAGAAUCUAUCAAAAGUAAACAUAAAAUAUGGUGCAUUCUCCUUAAAACUAAAACCUGGUGUGAAGGUUUAAAAUGUUGGCAAAAAAAAGCAACAUCAUAUAUUCUUAAUUCCCUUUGCAAAACUUACUGAGAAGAAUAUGCAUGUUGUUCCCUCAUAAGUUUCUUGACAGAGGAAACCUUGUUUAUAUUAGAUUUGAAUUAAGCAAAUUAAGAAAAAAAUUAUAAUCAUUAUUUCAAAUGGUUGUAUCUAAACCUUUUAUGAAUUAUUUUUCAGUUAUAAGUAUAUUGAGAUUAAUGGAUAAUCAUGAAAUUGUUAAAUAAUUGCUGCUAUCAUUCCAUUGACUAAAGAGCCAUAAUUUAUU